UACUAGGACUGUGACUAAUCUGAGCUUUGUUAGAGCUAAGGAAUUGAUGGUUAGCUUAAGCAAAAUACAAGUUGUUCCUGUGAUUAUAGCUGAUGUGAACCUAUGUUUGAUACAUUAUAGGAUAAAUUUGAUAGUGAUGACAUGAAUAGUCAUCGAGAUCAUGUUUUGGGGUGGAUGAAAGAGUUAUGGAAUAAAUGGAGAGGUCAAUUGCAUGCAAACUAUGUGAAGGGUAAGCCUAUACAAGAGGCUCUUAAGAAUAUGCCUAAGGGGGUAGAAAAGAAGCAAUAGGCGUGGUUGGUAAAAGAACAUUUUACUUCAAAAGAUUUUCAGGUGAGAAGCAAUAGAAAUGUAGUAAAUAGAGCUAAGCUGAAGAUGCUUCAUCAUAUUGGUAGCAAGCCAAUUAGAGAGAUUAUUUAUCAAAAGGUGUUAUCAUCAAAUCUUUUUCUAUUUUAAUGUUGAUGAACCAUUCUUUGACAUGUUUACUUUUAUGUAAAGGGAGGAAAAGAUGGCAAUCCACCAGAUUUGGCAACUAUCUUUUACGAGACUCGCAAGAAGAAUAACACACUUGUUAAUUCUGAAACAAUCGAGAAUCAUGUGCGUUUGGUUAAUUGAACAUUUUCUUAACAUUUAGUUAUUUGUACAUGUUCUUAACAUCUAGUUAUUAUGGGAUUUGAAAAAAAUCUUCUUUAUACACUUUGUAGGCUCAAAUUCAAGAAUUAGUGGAGUCUGAACCAUCACUUUCUAGCAUAGAAAUUGUUGAGAAAUGCUUUGGACCUCAAAGUCGUAGUCAUGUAUUUGGCUUUGGAGGUGGAGUAAAAGCAAGAGAUUUGAAAGGUGGGGCUUCCUCAAAACCCGAAUUGUUGGCUGAGCUACGUUCAACUAAAAAAGAAAAUCAAUCUUUGAAGGAUUGCAUAUCUAACUUUCAAAAUGAGAUGAAAGAACUGAAGCAAUUGAAAGAAUUUUUUUUAGCGCAACACCCUAAUUUCCAGCCUCCAAUUCAAGAGAAUGACUAUUCGGAUACUUGAUGAUACCAUAGAAAAAGGGACUUUUGACUAUUUAAGGAUUUUCAAGUGAGGACAAGAAACUCAUUUAGAACAUGUAAGAUUCUUCUAUUCCAGCUCUUCUCUACUCCUGUGAUA